rnacentral:tRNA from 1 species
AUUUAUAUAGUUUAAAAAAACAUUACAUUUUCAUUCUAAAAAUAAAAAUUUUUUUUUUAUAAAUA